rnacentral:lncRNA from 1 species
UGUGCACUUCAGCGUGUGGGCUGCCAGAGCCUCAUCCCUGCAGGCUUGGGAACCCCCAGGCCCCGCCUCACCCGGUAAAGCUGGUUGAACUGAGUUGCCACCCAACAGGUUCGAGAAGGGGCCGCCAGGCUGGAAGGCAAGGAAGCUGGUGUGGAGCUUGCCUAACCGUUCUCAGCCUCCAGCCCUCAGGCCUCUGUGCGGACAACGUCUGACAUCACACAUUAAGGAGCGGACAGUUAGGGGUCCUCCUGGGCUCUCGGGAAUGCCACAUUCCAGGGGGCCGUGCCCCUGCUGGACCCCUCACCAUCAACAUGAGCGAGUGUGC